rnacentral:sRNA from 1 species
AAGCCAUGUAAGCCAUUUGUUUCCGAUCUUUGGCCACGGAUUUACUGGCAUCGAUCGUCGAGACAAUGAAGGAAGAGGUCGGGCCAGCCCGGCCUUUUUUGUU